rnacentral:rRNA from 1 species
GAUGAACGCUAGCGACAGGCCUAACACAUGCAAGUCGAGGGGCAGCACGAAUAGCAAUAUUUGGUGGCGACCGGCGCACGGGUGAGUAACACGUAUGCAACCUACCUGUAAGAGGGGAAUAACCCGGAGAAAUUCGGACUAAUACCGCAUAAUACCUCGAAGCUGCAUGGCUUUGAGGUUAAAUAUUUAUAGCUUACAGAUGGGCAUGCGUAUGAUUAGCUAGUUGGUGAGGUAACGGCUCACCAAGGCAACGAUCAUUAGGGGUUCUGAGAGGAAGGUCCCCCACAUUGGAACUGAGACACGGUCCAAACUCCUACGGGAGGCAGCAGUGAGGAAUAUUGGUCAAUGGACGAGAGUCUGAACCAGCCAAGUCGCGUGAAGGAAGAAGGUUCUAUGGAUUGUAAACUUCUUUUGUAAGGGAAUAAAGUUCACCACGUGUGGUGUUUUGUAUGUACUUUACGAAUAAGGAUCGGCUAACUCCGUG